CAAGUCAAUCCAUUUGUGACUAAAUAAUCAUGGAUUGACUUCUAUUUGAAAGAAUGUGUUCAAUCUUCACAACUACAAAUCGCAAGUGGAGUCCGGCGCUUAGGGCUACUUCCUCUUCGAUAUUAUGUAUUAUACUACAGAAAUCAGGAACUUUCCUUCUAAAUAUAUGUAUGCAUCUUGGCCAUCAAACAUAUUCUUCCAAACAUUUUUUUAAGGGGUUACAUAGGUCUUGUGGGUAAAAAAAGUGACUUUUUAAAAAAAUUAUAUCUCGAAAACUAAAAUUUAUUUUUAUUUAUAAUUGGAACAUGUAAAAGUAUAGUACUUAAGGUAGUCUCAAAAAAAGUUUCAGCCAAAAAUAUUCAUUUUUGUAGAGUUUAAGUUUUUUUGCGUUGGCAGCAUAACUAAGUCCAGUCUCAUCUGAAAUCAAAAAGUUUCUUGUAGUUUAUACCUCUGGCUAGAAUAUGAACGAAGGAAUUUAAAAAAAAUGAAAUUUGAAGAUUUUACAUAAGUUUAAACACAUUUUUGACCCCAAUUUUUCUCAUUUUUAAAGUAGUUUUUUUUAUAAAACAAAAAUGACCUCAUCUAAUAAAAAAUCCUUUGUUCAUUCACUAGCCAGAGGUAUAAACUACAAGAAACUUUGAUUUCAGAUGAGACUGGACUUGUUAUGCUGCUCACCGAAAAAAAGGGCUGUUGUCGAAAAAUUGCAGUCAACUCUACAAAAAUGAAUAUUUUUGGCUGAAAUUUUUUUGAGAGUACUAUACUUUUACAUGUUUCAAUUAUAAAUAAAAAUAAUUUUUAGUUUCCAAGAUAUAAUUUUUUUAAAAAGUCACUUUUUUUACCUGCAAGACAACAACUUAACAAAUUGUUGAUUUCAAAUUGUAACAGUUGUUUUGCAAAGUAUGCUGCCCUCUUGUAUUUUCUGUGUUAUCUUCAUCAUACAAUUACUUCAUCUAAAAACUUUCUGCGAUAUAUUCGCAACAACAAAAACAAACAAAACAAAAAAAAAUAAAACAAAAGUUUAACCACCUUCACACCACAGAAUCAAGCAAUCAAGUUACACAAAUUUUCAAACACCUCACCUGACACAGCGUCUCAAGUACGAUUGCGCGAAUUGGUAAAUAUAACUCCGCACGACCACGCAACUCGAAACACAAGUACGCAAACACGGUUGCGUGAAGCGUGGCUCGCAAUCGUGAAAUUUACGAGACUUGCUCGACCUGUAGAUUCUUGUAACCGUAAUCGUACCCCCUCCUAACUGCUAAAGUGUCAUGGCCGCCGUCGGGACCUAUUGUGCUGACAUUUACAAUGUUUACAUAUAGAAAAGUUUGUUUUUUUCUGCUUAUAAUGCCGUUUUCUAAAGAUAUUAGUGAACAAAAUCGAUUUGCUAACAAUAUUUAAUAUAUUUUAAAUGUGCUAAAAUUGGAUUCAACAGCAAAAGUCGCAUAAAUAACAUAUAAAUAACGAAUUUGUUUACCUAUUACAAAUGGGGUUAUGUGGUUGUAACUGUUUAUUUUGGGAAUAAAAUGAAAAUGAUCAAUUAAACGACUGGAAAACUAUAGUAAAGUGAAGAACAUCUUGAAGUUCCAAUGAUGUUUCAAGAUGAGAUAAAUCGAAAUAAUGGUUGUAUGUUAGAAGGACAGAGAAUACGAAGAAAUGUUAUUGCUGCAUACUUAGUGUAGUGAAAUACAAACUUCAAACAUUAUAA